CGUCUCUCAGGACUCGGAGCAAGAAGCUGAAAUGAACGCAGACUGUACGUCUGAGCAGACCUCCUCUCCACUGAACAAGUUUGAUGACCCCGCUCUGUCAGAGGAAAGCUCCUUGUCUGCAGAGGACAGCUUUGAGGCCCAGCUGUCCAAGAUAACCCACCUGUCUCUGAUUAUAUACGACGGAGCUGCUGAUGCUGAGCUGGCUGAGCAGCAGCCAGAGGAGUGACCACCUUUUGCUCUACGGCCUCAGAUGUGAAGUUGAUCAGCUACUUGUGUUUUGUUUGAAAUCGGUUAGCUCUGCUCGGCCGUAGCGCCAGUCCUGGUUUUUCGUUGACUCAGCAGGUCCCGUUUCCUCUGGGAGCUAAUGUCACGUUUUCAUUGUUUUCUAAAA